GAAUUCGCCCUUAGAGUUUGAUCCUGGCUCAGGACGAACGCUGGCGGCGUGCCUAACACAUGCAAGUCGAACGGAGAUGUUUAUUUCGGUAGACAUCUUAGUGGCGCACGGGUGAGUAACGCGUGAAUAACCUGACCCGAAGAGGGGGAUAACACCUGGAAACAAGUGCUAAUACCGCAUAAGACCACGGACCGGCAUCGGUCAGAGGUCAAAGGAGGAAUCCGCUUUGGGAGGGGUUCGCGUCCCAUUAAGUAGUAGGCGGGGUAACGGCCCACCUAGCCGACGAUGGGUAGCCGAGCUGAGAGGCUGAUCGGCCACACUGGAACUGAGACACGGUCCAGACUCCUACGGGAGGCAGCAGUGGGGAAUAUUGGGCAAUGGGCGCAAGCCUGACCCAGCAACGCCGCGUGAGGGAAGAAGGUUUUCGGAUUGUAAACCUCUGUCGCAGAAGACGAAGGAAGUGACGGUAUUCUGUGAGGAAGCCCCGGCUAACUACGUGCCAGCAGCCGCGGUAAUACGUAGGGGGCGAGCGUUGUCCGGAAUUACUGGGCGUAAAGGGAGCGUAGGCGGUCUGAUAAGUUGGAUGUGAAAUACCCGGGCUUAACUUGGGGGGUGCAUCCAAUACUGUUGGACUAGAGUACAGGAGAGGAAAGCGGAAUUCCUAGUGUAGCGGUGAAAUGCAUAGAUAUUAGGAGGAACAUCGGUGGCGAAGGCGGCUUUCUGGACUGCAACUGACGCUGAGGCUCGAAAGCGUGGGGAGCAAACAGGAUUAGAUACCCUGGUAGUCCACGCUGUAAACGAUGAAUACUAGGUGUAGGGGGUAUAAACUCCCUCUGUGCCGCAGCAAACGCAAUAAGUAUUCCGCCUGGGGAGUACGGCCGCAAGGUUGAAACUCAAAGGAAUUGACGGGGGCCCGCACAAGCGGUGGAGUAUGUGGUUUAAUUCGAAGCAACGCGAAGAACCUUACCAGGGCUUGACAUCCUACUAACGAAGCAGAGAUGCAUUAGGUGCCCUUCGGGGAAAGUAGAGACAGGUGGUGCAUGGUUGUCGUCAGCUCGUGUCGUGAGAUGUUGGGUUAAGUCCCGCAACGAGCGCAACCCUUAUUGUUAGUUGCUACGCAAGAGCACUCUAGCGAGACUGCCGUUGACAAAACGGAGGAAGGUGGGGACGACGUCAAAUCAGCACGGCCCUUACGUCCGGGGCUACACACGUGUUACAAUGGGGGGUACAGAAGGCAGCUACACGGCGACGUGAUGCUAAUCCCGAAAGCCUCUCUCAGUUCGGAUUGGAGUCUGCAACCCGACUCCAUGAAGCUGGAUUCGCUAGUAAUCGCGCAUCAGCCACGGCGCGGUGAAUACGUUCCCGGACCUUGCACACACCGCCCGUCA
rnacentral:rRNA from 1 species